UACGAAGGGGGGCUAGCGUUGCUCGGAAUCACUGGGCGUAAAGGGUGCGUAGGCGGACUUUUAAGUCAGGGGUGAAAGCCUGAGGCUCAACCUCAGAACUGCCUUUGAUACUGAGAGUCUCGAGACCGGGAAGAGGUAAGUGGAACUGCGAGUGUAGAGGUGAAAUUCGUAGAUAUUCGCAAGAACACCAGUGGCGAAGGCGGCUUACUGGUCCGGUUCUGACGCUGAGGCACGAAAGCGUGGGGAGCAAACAG
rnacentral:rRNA from 1 species